GGGGCCCACAGCCUCGCUCGCCGCGGCGGGGGACGACGGAGGAUGCGGCGGCCCUUCCUAGACGGCCGCCCCGCACCUCGGUGGGGCCGGGGCGAUCCAUUUAGAAGAGAGAGGAGCAACCCCAUGGAUUUCCAUUGAUACACGUGGAGCUUAGCAAGAAUGAAAUAGCCAAGGAAGCCUCCGAAACCAAGACAACCCGUGUGUGUUUACACAUACUAUGUAUAAACAGGAAAAUAAAGCAAAAGAAAACAGGAAAAUAAAGUCAAAGAUGUCAUGAA